rnacentral:sRNA from 1 species
AGCGGCGUAGGCCCGUGCCCCUGCUCGCGCUGCAGCCCGUGGAAGGGUUCCGUCCAGCGUAUCCUUCAGAUCUUGCUGUAGGCCUCUCGUGUCUGCGCGCGCGGCAGGGGCGGUGGCGGCGACGGCCGGAGGUGUACGGUCAGCAGGUUGCGGAGGAUCGUGCGGGUAGCAAAGGCAGGCCGAGUGCUCCUGCGGCUCCCAGAGGGCAACCAGAACAUGCAUCAUUAUUAGAACCAUCACCCUGCAGCUAGCUUGGAUACCAUUAAAAGGGCUCAUCAGCUGCAAACGGAUUAAAGUAUCUGGUACUCGGGAAGACAGAGUUUCAGGGUUUCUACCUGGAGCUACACCCUCAGGAAGCCCCUCCUUGGCCUCCCUUCACCCAGUCCCAUCCCAACCAGUCACAACUUGGGCUGUGCGUGGUGUUUCUUGGAAACUGGAACACAGACUCCUCCAGCAGCUCCACAGGCCCCUUGUCCUCAAUGAGCAG